AAGAAAAAAUAAGUUUCAAAUCUAUAUGCCUUUUAGAAAUAGCUGUAUGUACUUGCACGCAAAACUUUAACCAGAAUUUUCUAAGUCCAAAAGGGGGCAUAAUUUGGCCAAAAUGAAGGUCAGAGUUAUGGGACUUGCUGCUAUCAACUAGAUUUAUAACCCCGAAGACACAUGUGAAGUUUCAAAUCAAUAUCUGCAUUAGUUUUGGAGAUAGUAACUUGCAUGUAAAACUUUAACCAAAAUUUUCUAAGUCUAAAAGGGGGCAUAAUUUGCUCAAAAUACAUGUCAGAGUAAUGGGUCUUGACCAAGUGAGGUUGGUAAUUGAUCUAGAAAAAGAAAAAAUAAGUUUCAAAUCUAUAUGCCUUUUAUAAAUAGCUGUAUGUACUUGCACGCAAAACUUUAACCAGAAUUUUCUAAGUCCAAAAGGGGGCAUAAAUUGGCCAAAAUGAAAGUCAGAGUUAUGGGACUUGCUGCUAUCAACUAGUUUUAUAACCCCGAAGACACAUGUGAAGUUUCAAUUCAAUAUCUGCAUUAGUUUUGGAGAUAGUAACUUGCAUGUAAAACUUUAACCAAAAUUUUCUAAGUCCAAAAGGGGGCAUAAUUUGCUCAAAAUACAUGUCAGAGUUAUGGGACUUGACCCAGAGAGGUUGGUAAUUGACCUAGAAAAAGAUAAAAUAAGUUUCAAAGCUAUAUGCCUUUAAUUGAUGGCUGUAUGUACUUGCAUGCAAAAACUUAACCAAGGUGUGACGCCGACGCCGACGCCGACGCAAGGGUGAGUAGAAUAGCUAGACUAUUCUUCGAAUAGUCGAGCUAAAAAUCAAUAACAAAUAUAGGGGGUCAAAGGUCAAAUACUUCAGUAAAAAGUCAUAAUUUUCAAGCCUUUAUGUAAUUUAUCACCAUAAUUCAAUAAAAGAAUCUAAAAAUACAAGGUGCAACAAGAUGACAGGGAAGCCUAGAUAUACAACAAAUAGUCAUGUCAAGGUCACACAUGUAUGUCACAGGUCAAAUAUAUAAAUACAAAUAACAAUUUUACCAUCUUUUUGAAAUUGUCUUUUUUGCAAAACUGUAUUCUCAAAUUACAAUGUACAAAUGUUCUCAAUGAUAAUAGAUAUCACCCUAUCCCAAUACAGUAUAUGUUUCUAACAGAUUUGCAAGCAACUCUGUAGAAAACAAUAGAAACUGAUAAAAUAUCCGAUACACAAAACUUAACACAUGUUUCAUUUAAACUCUCUAUACAUACAAUGCUUUCUAUUUCAAAGUUUUGACAAUGUUAACCCUACAUGACCCAAAUGAAGAAUGACUUUGGUAUAAAUUACAUACCAAUUUUGAUCUAGAUGCAAGAAAAAUUGCAAACUAUAUAUAAACAAGUGAAUGAAGUAUUGCCAUGCAAUACAAAGUCCCCUACUGGAAGGCACCUAAAUUUUCUCUACUACAGUAUAACAUAAUGAACUGAUAUCUGUCAAUGAUGUAUAAACAAUAUUGUACUAUAUAUACAAUAUGUUAUAACAACACACUUGGAUUAAAAUGUGCAUAUAUAAAAACCCAAAGUUGUUUUCAUAUUGAAAUGUUUUUGCCGAUUAUAAAAAAAAGUUACGGUAUCAUAUAAGUUAUUUAUAGUACCAACAAAAUAAAUAAAUCUUAAAAAAAAAAAAAAAAAAAAAAAAUCUAUAUAAUAUAAGUCCAUAAGAAACUCUUUACCAGGUAGAGAUAGGUCAAAAUACACCUAAAAAUUGGCUGCAACAUGCAUGUUGUACCACAGAAAAGUGGUCUCGAUUUUUCUCUAUGGCCAAUAAUAAAAAAGUUACAAUAAAAUCUAUUUAUAGUACAACAAAGGGACAUAAUUCUAAAAACAAGGGUGCCUCAUGGUGGUGAACAUUUGGUCCAAGUUACAUCAAAAUCCCCCAAUGCAUGAAGAAGAAAUGCUCCGGACAGUCAUUCUUGAAUUUGACCUUUGACCUCUAAAUAUGACCUUGACCUUAGACCUAGGAACGUGGUUCUUGCGCAUGACAAUCCGUCUUACGUUGGUUAACAUUUGUGCCAAGUUACAUCAAAAUCCCUCCAUGCAUGAAGAAGAAAUGCUCCAGACAAAGUCAUUCUUGUGUCUGACCUUUGGUCUCAAGUUUGACCUUGACAUUAGACCCUGGGCUGGGUUUUGCGCAUAACAUGUCUCAUCCAGGGAAAUAUUUGUGCCAACUCAUAUCUAAAUCCUGUUUUGCAUGACAAAGUUAUAAACUGGACAGGAAAAAAAUCCUACUGACCUUUGAUCUAAAAGUGUGACCUUGACCUUUAAGCUAGGGUACUUGAUGUUGCGCACGACACGUCAUCUCAUCAUGGGGAACAUUUAUGCCAAGCAAUAUUGUAAUCCCUUGAUGGAUGACAGAGUUCUGGAUCGGACAGGAAAAAAACCUUACUGACCUUUGACCUCCAAUUGUGACCUUGACCUUUGAGCUAAGGGUCCGGGAUUUGCGCAUGACACGUCGUCUCAUCAUGGGGAACAUUUGUGCCAAGUAAUAUUAAAAUCCCUUAAUGAAUGUCAGAGUUAUGGACCGGACACGAAACAGACGCUGUUCGUGCUAUGUUAACAUUUGACUGCUAAGUGUGACCUUGACCUUUGAGCUAGGGGUCUGAAAGUUGUGCACGACACAUCGUCUUAUUAUGAGGUACAUUUGUGCCAAGUAAUAUUAAAUUCCCUUCAUGGACGGCAGAGGUAUGGACCGGACAGGAAAAAAGCCCUGUUGACCUUUGACCUUUCAAUGCACGCAAAACUUUAACGUAGAUUUUCUAAGUCUUAAAGCGACAUAAUUCAGCCAAAAUACAUGAUAAAGUUAUGGGACUUGAUUACAUGCCUCCCUGUGUAAGACGGGGUUUUCCCUACCCGAGGGACAGUGUGGAAUUGAAAACCGAGCGUUAGGGAGGUUUUUUAUCCAUGCUGUCCUGAGGGUAGAGAAAACAGCUGUCUUACACAGGCAGACAUGUUAGAUAAUGUUUCUUGCCUAUCAUGUUCAAAAUAGAUUGUGGAGACAAAUAAGUUUGGGUAUUUCCUGACAUUAUUUAUAAAGUUUAUGAUGUCACAAUGGUACCAGUACUAUGUGAUGUCACCUUAAUGCACGCUAUUUUAGACAAGGUUUUUUCCCUAGGGAAAAACAGGAAUAUCUAUCCCCAACGCGUGCUCGGAUAAAUGUAUACUUUCCCCGCUAGGUAGGCAAGAUCAGUUUAGUGUGGUCAAUGACCUAGAAUCAUUCACCAAAGAUUUCAAAGCCAUAUUUCUUCUGUACAAUACAGAUAUACCAUUGCACGCAAAACUUUAACAAGAGUGCCAUGAUGGCCCUAUAUCGCUCACCUGAGUACCAUUACUCAAAAUGAUAUGAUCAAGUUUUGACAUACAGCACAUAGGCAUACACAUUAAAUAUCAUCAGGAAUGAGGAUAAACAUUUUCUUGUAACAGUUUCCAUUUUGAUUUGAAACAAAAGGAGGUAAUUUGACACAAAAUCAGUCCAUAGCUAUCUACCCUGAUUGCCUCAGUCAAACUAAAGACAAUAAUGGCUGACUCAUAAUAAAAUAAAAUGGGUGGGGAAUGAUGUGGGUGAUGAUGAGGAAUAACUAUUUGACCAUUUUAAGAUUGAAACAAAUCCAUCAAGUAACUACGAAGAUAAGGAGAAAAAAAGAAAGUGUUAAAAAGACUUUAACCAAGGUGGGGACAUGGAAUGACGCCGCCACCAGAGUGAGUAAAAUAGCUAUCUAUAUAUAGUAAACCUCACUUAUAAGGAACUCGGAUAUAAGGAACACUCGGUUAUAAGGAACAUUUCUCAAUUCCCCGAUCUAAUUCCUUCUUUAUUCAAUGUAAAAAUCCUCGGUUAUAGGGAACUCGGUUAUAAGGAACAAUCGGUUAUAAAGAACACUUUUUCUAGUCCCAAAGUACGAAAUUCAAUGGAAAACCCCUCGGUUAUAGAGAACAGACAUAAAGAAUAAAAAUUAUUGAAAACUGGAAAUAAACAGGAGAAUCGCUGAAGACGUCAGACUUUCACGCGCUUUUAUGCACAUGAAUAAACACAUAUUAUUUCAUUUCUAUGAUCUUUAGUUUGUUAUUUCACGGAUAUGAUAAAAAGAAAAUAAAUAAUAUCAUCAUUAACUUAUAUUUACUCGAGAUUAUGUUUGAGGGCUACAUGUAUUAGGUAUUUCAUGCUAUCAAUAGUGAACGAAAAUCAGUCGUGGACACGGUCAUGUCAUACUAGCCUAAAUAAAUGUGUUAAUUACGCGUGAUUAACAAUGACAAACAGUCCAGUUUACCAAAUUUUCAAUUGUAAAAAUUGUAACAGGUGCUAAAAUGGACAAUAGCAAAACUAUAGGUAUAAUUUACAUUUUAGUCCGUAUGUAUGGCGCCGUUGUCUAGUCGUAAUGCACUAUAUGUCAUAAACACCCUACUUUUAAAUUUUAAUUGGUAGUCAUAUUCAACAUUUUUGUAUUAAUUAUUUGAACAUUUAUUUUAUAUUAGUAUUGAUGCCUUUUCAAAUAACAUGCUGCCGAGCAAGGUAAGGGCUGCAACAUAUCUUAUAAUCAUAAUGUAGUGCUCUCCUAAAACAAGAAGAUAGAAAUAGCCGACAAAAAAUAAACAAAAAUCACGUCAUUCUUACCGACGUACAUUUUAGCUUAGUUUAGGUUUAAACGCCGUGUUUCAACACUAUUUCAGUCAUAUACACGCAGUCAGUUUACCAUACCAUCUCUCUAGGAAAGGACCGGUACUCACAUUUCUCACAUAAAGAUUCAUGGUCGACCCGGAGCCCUUUUCAAACUUGGUCAUGCAUUGAAUGAUGACCAGUGGCAUACUGUGUAUGUGAAGAGAAGAGGAAAGAAGUUAGAGUUGAGAAUUGACAACAGUCGCCCCAUUGAAGAUGUAAUUCCACAUAUAGCACCAACUGUACACGUGAAGCAGAUGGUACUG